GAUAAACGCUGGCGGCGCACAUAAGACAUGCAAGUCGAACGGAAGUCCUUAUAAAAAGGAUUGAAGAUUUAUCUGAUUGAGAUUUUAUAACAAUGGCUUUAGUGGCGGACUGGUGAGUAACGCGUGAGCAACCUGCCUACUAGAGGGGAAUAACAGUGAGAAAUCAUUGCUAAUACCGCAUAUGCCAUGAACAUCACAUGAUGAAAAUGGGAAAAGAGUAAUCUGCUAGUAGAUGGGCUCGCGUCUGAUUAGAUAGUUGGUGGGGUAACGGCCUACCAAGUCAACGAUCAGUAGCCGGACUGAGAGGUUGAACGGGCCACAUUGGGACUGAGAUACGGCCCAGACUCCUACGGGAGGCAGCAGUCGGGAAUAUUGCGCAAAUGGAGGAAACUCUGACGCAGUGACGCCGCGUAUAGGAAGAAGGUUUUCGGAUUGGUAAAACU
rnacentral:rRNA from 1 species